UAGCUCCCCCCUUCUCCUUUAAGGCCUCGGCGUGAUCGCCGCCGCGAUUUGUCCGUGUCCUAUUGACCCCCCCGCGCCAGGUAUCCUGGCGAAGCUCUGCCGUCUCUCGAGGGGCCCCGGGUGGCUCCGUCUGUCCCUCGGAGCGGGAUGAGGGAGGAGAAAACCUUGCCACGUUCAUGUGAGAGAUGGCGAAUGCCGAGGUGAGCGUCCCUGUGGGUGAUGUGGUGGUUGUACCAAGUGACGGGAAUGAAGGGGAGAGCCCGGAGGAUACCAAAACCCAAGUGAUCUUGCAGCUCCAGCCGGUGCAGCAAGGGAUUUACCAAGAGGGCUCCGAGGCCAGUGCCGCUGUGGUGGCCGUGGAAACUCACACCAUCCACAAGCUGGAAGAAGGGAUUGACCCCAGCACCCUUGAAACGAGUGAGGAAAUCGAGAUUGCCUAUCCCAUCACCUGUGGGGAGAGCAAAGCCAUCCUCCUCUGGAAGAAGUUUGUCUGCCCAGGAAUUAAUGUCAAGUGUGUGAAGUUCAAUGACCAACUGAUUAGCCCGAAGCACUUUGUUCACCUGGCUGGGAAGUCUACCCUGAAGGACUGGAAGAGAGCCAUUCGCCUUGGAGGAAUCAUGCUAAGGAAGAUGAUGGAUUCAGGGCAGAUUGACUUCUACCAACAUGACAAAGUUUGUACCAACACCUGUCGAAGCACCAAGUUUGAUCUCCUGAUCAGCAGUGCCAGAGCACCAGUGCCGGGGCAGCAGAGCGUGGUGCAGACUCCAACCUCAGCUGAUGGGAGCAUCACCCAGAUUGCGCUGUCAGAGGAGAGUAUGGAGGAGGGGAUAGAGUGGAACUCGGCUCUGACAGCUGCUGUCACCAUGGCCACUGAGGAAGGCAUGAAAAAGGACACGGAUGAGAUUUCAGAGGACACACUGAUGUUCUGGAAAGGAAUAGCUGAUGUGGGGCUGAUGGAAGAGGUGGUGUGCAACAUCCAAAAGGAAAUAGAAGAAGUCCUAAGAGGUGUGCAGCAGCGGUUGAGUCAGUCUCCCUUCCAGAUGACAGAUGCUGCAGUCCUGAACAACGUCGCCCAUACAUUUGGCUUAAUGGACACAGUCAAGAAGGUACUGGACAACAGGAAAAACCAGACAGAGCAAGGAGAGGAACAGUUUCUUUACACACUGGCAGACCUGGAGCGGCAGCUGGAAGAACAGAAGAAACUUGCCAGGGACCAGAAGACCAAGUCUCAAACCAUCCAGAACGUGGUGCUGAUGCCCAUGAGCACUCCCAAGCCUCCCAAGAGACCCCGUCUGCAGCGCCCAGCCUCUGCUACCAUCCUCAGCCCCUCCACCCCCAUCCAGCAGCCUCAGUUCACUGUCAUCUCCCCCAUCGCCAUCGCGCCCGUUGGACAACAGUUCUCUGUGGGCAACAUCCCAGUGGCAACCCUCAGCCAAGGCUCCAGCCCAGUGACUGUUCAUACCUUGCCGUCUGGCUCCCAGCUCUUCCGAUAUGCCACCGUGGUUUCAUCCUCCAAGACCAGCUCCUCGGACACCGUCACCCUGCACCCAUCCUCCAGCCUGGCACUGCUGAGCUCAGCAGCCAUGCAGGACACCGGGGCCCUCGCCAACGUGGCGACCAUGGUCAACCCUGUGGAACUAGUGGCCAUGGAGUCUGGCAUCACUUCCACCAUCCAAGCUGUGGAAGGCACCUCAGAUGAUGGGCAGACCAUCAUAGAGAUUGACCCAGCGCCGGAUCCUGAGGUGGACACAGACGAAUCAGAGGGCAAAGCUGUGAUCCUGGAGACAGAGCUGAGGACUGAGGAGAAAGUGGUGGGAGAUGUGGAAGACCAUCAGCACCAGGUCCAUAAUGUGGAGAUUGUGGUCUUGGAAGACUAGUGGGGAAGGCAAGCAUCUGUUAGUGGAAGAGUUGGGAAUUCGUUUUAUUUCAGGCUUUUUUGUUAAGCAUCUUUUCCAGCCACCUCAGUUGUUACUAUGGAUAUUUUCAUUGUACUGUGUAUAUAUAUAUAUAUAUAUGUGUAUAUAUAUAUAUAUAUAUAUAUAUACACACACACAUAUACAUAUACAUAUAUAUAUGUGUGCGUGUGUGUAAAAGGUUUGGGGUUUUUUUUAAACAAAGCUGGAGAAACACAUGAGACAUGGAUAAGGCUCCGUCUCUGUGGAGCACUGAACAAUACCACCCGUGGCAGGGUCAAGGAGAGACUGGAUCUCUGCUGGACAAACCAACCAGGAGGAACUAGCCAUGCCCCGGUGCUUCUGCUCCAGGGCUGCCCUGGCCCGGAGACUUUAUUUGAGAGACAGUAACACUUGCGUGUGGAUGUGGCUGUGAGAAGGGGUGACGGAUUUGGGGUGGAACAGAGACCCAAGGGCCAAGGCAACAAAGUGCAAAACGGCUCUGUGCACCAGAAAGAUGGGUUGAAUGAUGAUGACUUUGAGCCCUACCUGAGUCCCCAGGCUCGCCCGGAACGCCAAGGCCGUGUCAAGUAAAAGGCCAUUCCUCCAGCACAGAUUGCUGCAGAGAUUGCAUCCCAGCUGUCUUUCAGAGAGAGAAAGGAGCAAGAGUAUCCCAGAAAGAAUUAGGACUUUUUUUUCUUAAUUCCUUUGACUUCAAACAGACUUUUACAAACUUCCAAUUAAAAAAAAAAAAGUAUUGGAAUAUCACAAGACAUAGGACUAAAAAAAACCAAAAAACAACUACAAAAAAAUCCCUUCUAGGUAGAGUAGAGGUAAAACCUGUCCCAUUUCUUUUGGUUUUGGUUGUGAUUUCAGAGCAUACACUUUGUUUUUGUCUUUUUACUAUGGUUUUGGAUUUUCGAGUCCGUAAGUGGCAUAUGCCUUUUUUUUUUGUCUAAUUUUUAAUCUCAUUGUUCCUCCUCUUUCCACCCUGUUGGGCCUCCUUCCCUGGUUUUGAUAUUUGCACUUGGAGCACUGAAUUAUAGCAUCCACCAUGCAAAGUGGAGUAACUUUUUUUUGUUUUUCUUUCCCCGGACCAGAAGAGGAGGAAUUCUGUGAGGAAGCUGGGGUUUUGGCCUAAGAAGAAUUGAACAGAAAAUUGUCCCCGAGGUUAUGUCUUAAAGGUGGUUCAUUUUUCUCUGACCCUUUGUUACUCAAAAGUCAAGUACUAGGAGUCCUAAGAAAUGUUCUGUUCUUGUGCAUUUUAUAGAUUUAAAGAUUAGGUCUGGAUGAAUUUGAUUUUUUGAAAGCUGAGAACAGUGGUAAAAACUUGCCUUGUUUACAGGAAAAUGAAUUUUGGACAAUAAAAAGCCCAAAACAAACAAACCAAGGAAGAAAUAUUGUAAAAUGUGUAGUGACUAUGUUUCAGUUUCUUGUUAAGCCAAUGAGGACUGGGCGUUGCCUUUCUUUUCACCAUUAAUCACUUCUCAUUAAUAAAUGUGAGAUCCUGUUGAGCAUCA